AAAGUCUGACGGAGCAACGCCGCGUGAGUGAUGAAGGUUUUCGGAUCGUAAAACUCUGUUGUUAGGGAAGAACAAGUACCGUUCGAAUAGGGCGGUACCUUGACGGUACCUAACCAGAAAGCCACGGCUAACUACGUGCCAGCAGCCGCGGUAAUACGUAGGUGGCAAGCGUUGUCCGGAAUUAUUGGGCGUAAAGCGCGCGCAGGCGGUUUCUUAAGUCUGAUGUGAAAGCCCCCGGCUCAACCGGGGAGGGUCAUUGGAAACUGGGGAACUUGAGUGCAGAAGAGGAGAGUGGAAUUCCACGUGUAGCGGUGAAAUGCGUAGAGAUGUGGAGGAACACCAGUGGCGAAGGCGACUCUCUGGUCUGUAACUGACGCUGAGGCGCGAAAGCGUGGGGAGCGAACAGGAUUAGAUACCCUGGUAGUCCACGCCGUAAACGAUGAGUGCUAAGUGUUAGAGGGUUUCCGCCCUUUAGUGCUGCAGCAAACGCAUUAAGCACUCCGCCUGGGGAGUACGGUCGCAAGACUGAAACUCAAAGGAAUUGACGGGGGCCCGCACAAGCGGUGGAGCAUGUGGUUUAAUUCGAAGCAACGCGAAGAACCUUACCAGGUCUUGACAUCCUUCUGACAACCCUAGAGAUAGGGCUUCCCCUUCGGGGGCA
rnacentral:rRNA from 1 species